GAGCAUGGGGGUUUGGAACGCGCGCCCAAUGGCAGCAACCACUACGCGGGUAGCGAGCACGACAAGUCGAAAAAUCGAAUCGCUCGCCGACGAGAGAAAGGGGAGGGAGAAGCAGCGGGGAGCCCUGUCGGUGAACGAGGACGGUGCAGUGAACCGGUACAUCGACUAGUGAUAGAACAUAGAAGGUAAGCCUGUGUCCUCGCUAUGAUGAUC
rnacentral:lncRNA from 1 species